rnacentral:lncRNA from 1 species
CCACCAGCUGCGCUUCGAUCAUGACUCCUGGGAGGAGGAGGGAGGGAGGAAGAGGAGGGAGGAGGAUGAAGAGGAGGAUCGUGCCUGCCCUCGGCUGGAGGACAACUGGCGGGAGCUCAUUGAUGGGCACGAGAAGCUGACCCGGCGGCAGUCCCACCAGCAGGAGGCGGUGUGGGAGCUCCUGCACACCGAGGCCUCCUACAUCCGGAAACUGCGCGCGUCAUCACCAACCUGUUCCUGUGCUGCCUCCUGAACUUGCAAGAGUCCGGGCUACUGUGCGAGCAACCCGUUCUGUGCCAGGUGGAGGCGGAGCGGCUGUUCAGCAACAUCCCCGAGAUCGCGCGACUGCACCGCGCUCUGUGGAGCAGCGUGAUGGCGCCGGUGCUGGACGAGGCGCGGCGCACGCGGACACUGCUGCAACCCGGAGACUUCCUCAAAGGCUUCAAGAUGGUACGGGCAAAGGGUGGGGGUUUAGCUCAGUGGCACCUUGCCUGCCUUGAAAGUGCAAGGUCAUGAGUUCGAUCCUCGGUAAGCAAAAAAACAAAAAACAAAGGUACGGGCAGGGCCACGGAGGCAGGGCCGGGCAAAGGCUCCGGGCCCGGAGCCAUCUGGCCAUCGCUGUCCAGUCCCCCGACCAGCGACCCCAGGGAUCCCUGUCGGCUCUGGGUUUGAAUCCCCGCUGGCCCUCUACCCUGCCGGCUGGCCUCGGGCAGUCUCUCGCCUGAAGGCGAGAUGAGCUUU